GGAGGCAUUGGUGUAGUAGUAGCACGACAGGCUGUGGCCCUGUUAGGAGGGGUGCAAAUCCCCUACGCCUCCC
rnacentral:tRNA from 1 species